rnacentral:lncRNA from 1 species
GCGUUUUGACAAAUUCCAGUUGAUAUUCUGCAACAUUCAUUCUUGAAAUGGUAUCUGAAAGCUUUAUGAAGGAUAAAGGAAUAUUUCUUUUUAACUGAUCUUUAUUCAAGCAUUGACUGUCACGUUAUGCAUGCUAGGUUGGUUGUUAUAGUGCUUUGAUUUCUGUUCCUAUAUAAGGCUACAGUUAAACUUUUCUUGUAGUUGAUUGGGCUGUCGCAGUUAUUGCAUAUGUAGUUUUUGUUUAUUUCAAUGAUAUUCUUUUGCUAGCUAUGUUUUGGCUCAUCUUUUGUUGAUGUUGCCAGUCUCAGUCCUAGUGGAGUUUUAUAUCUCAAUUUGAAAUGAGAAAAUAUUAGGCAUUAUGCCUUUUUAAGUUAUAGUCUGUUGUCUUUUUGUCUGGCAAUACUACGACAUUUUAACUUCUUGACGUUUCUUUCUGGGUUUGAAACUAGUUGUAAAAGCGUUGCUGCUUCCUUUUACCAUGUUAAUAGCUGUAUUGGUACCGAAGUGGACAUGUUAGGUGAAGUGUUUAUGCAGUUUGUUAACUUUUUUCUUGAUAAGGAAAAAAGGAUACAAAAUUUAUGCUACCUUGUAAUUUGAUCAUCAUAUUUGUUAAUAGUUUCUUGAUAAGGAAAAAAAGGAUACAAAAUUUAUGCUACCUUGUAAUUUGAUCAUCAUAUUUGUUAAUAGACAAAGUUUGAUGUGAGAUGUCCUAGAUAAGAAGCUUAUGACAAUCAAAAUAUUGACGGACAUGCUCUUAUCGAUGUGUUGAGGUUGCUUUUCUAGGAAUACUAGUAUAGGUGACUGUUUUCGUCCCAUUCUUCCAUUU